rnacentral:misc_RNA from 1 species
GAAAAAAAAUUAGGUUUUCUAUGCAUUUUCCGGCGCCGACGAAGAAGAUACUGGGAAAGUUUGAGGUAGUUUGAACUUUUAACGCUGUUUUCUUUCGACGUUUUGGCUCUCGGAUAUCGUUUUUUGGUGGUCCUGUAGUUUUUCUGAAAAUUUGUAUUUAUAUAUGAGUUGUGGUUCUGAUUGAUGGACGAGAUUUGGGAAAGAGCGGUGGAGACGGCGUUAGACGGCGAGAGAGACUUUGGUUCUGUGAGAACCCUAACGUUGGACGGAGCGGUGAAGUGUAUUCAUGGUAAGUUGGCUCCUCCGUCGAUUUUCGAAAGGUUUCAGAAUCUAGAGCACCUUUCGAUUGCAAACACCGGUGUUACAUCGCUUGAACAGUUUCCUAGGCUUCAGAAUCUACAGAAGUUGAAUUUAUCGGACAAUAGAAUUGCUGGAGGGCUUGAGUUCCUUGUAGAGGCUGGUUUAAAUUCUCUUAGGGACCUUGAUUUGUCUAAUAACCGGAUUCAGGAUAUCGAUGAUCUUCGGCCUUUGGCUGAACUCAGGCUUGUCUCGCUUGAUCUCUAUGAAUGUCCCGUAACGAGGGUUAAGG